AGUAGAUUGGUCAGCGGUUAAACCAAAAGCCAGGUUACAUGAAGUCCCCAUAGCAACGAUGUUUAAAGUUCCUCAAAUUCCAAAACAGUGACUAUAGCUCCGGGCUGACUUUUGGCGAUUUGUGGAAAAUUAAUUAAUCGCGACACUUUAAAUCAAACAACGCAAGUUUAAAAACAUUGGCGGAUGGUAUCAUGAUUCCUCUAGAAAGUACAACAGCUAUUUUGCCCAGGAUGCCAACAGGACGGACAAUAUCUGGCGAUUUCCCCUUGACAAUCAUCAAACCUCCAAUUGUUGAUGUCAGAUGUAGAGCAAGUCCAUCGGCAAUUUCCAGUCCUAUCAUCCGUCUUUUGCGAAGUAGAAAUCAAAGAAGGAAUAGCUCAGCAUCGUCUGUACGUAGUAACUGCAGUAGAAGGACCGAAUACGAGGAGUUCUUGCCGGAGAGAGUUGAGGUUGUUGAAGUAGAAAAUGGUGCACCGCAAAAUAUGCAAAUCAAGUCAGUAUUCCGCGCGCAUAAACAAAGUUGUUGCACUUCGCCUGAUAAUAUUUGCAACUGUCACGCGAUUUCUUCCAGGCGAGGUAGUUUAAUUUCAUCUGCUACAGAACGCCGUAUAAACUCACAGGACGAACCAUUUGGUGAUAGUAAAAUCAAUCAGGAUGAAAAAGAACUACUGCCAUUAAGAACAUCAGCUGUAAAAAUCAAAGAAAAUGAAGACAAUCAUGAAAAGCAAAUCAAAGACAAUGAAAACUUUCAACUGAUAGAAAGGAAACUAAAUAACAGUGAUCCUGUGGUAGAUGAGAAAAACAAUGAUACUUGUGACUUUGCUGUAGUGGAGAAUAUUAAACAAGAUGAUAAUGCUGUUGAGAUGGAAAUCAAACAGAAUGAGGAGAGUGUAUGUGAAAAGACAAACAAAAGAAGUAGAAAAAAGUGGAGCAAAUCAAAAUCACCCAGGAAAAGAAAGAACUCAUUAAAAAAAGGUUCAGGAGGGUUUGGAUUAUUUACCAGACUUGCCAACCCAAAUAAACAAAAGAAGCACCCAGGUCUUCAAUUAAAUUCCAGAGAAGAAACAACGAGGACAAAUUCUCACCAAUCAAAAGACAAUUCCACAAAAUACUUAAGCAUACAAAAACUUCAUGCAACUUAUGCACCAAAGAAAGGCAACAAGAGUAAUUCUAGUGAAAAGAACACUGGUGACAGAAUCCUUUUGCCUAAAGUACCCAACACCAAUUUACCUAAUACAUCAAGUUCAAGCAUGCUUUCUCCAAGGAAACAACAACAAGAAUUGGAAAAUACCUCUUUAUUUUCUCCUAUGUCAUCACCACGGAAAUUAUGGAACUCUGAAGAUAAUAGAGUGAAGAAGAUCUACUUAUCUGAAGCACACUCAGGAAUGAUAACAGGAGUACCAUGUGCUCCACCAUGCACACCUUCAGCUGGCGAGUAUUAAAUAAUAUUUAGUAUCAUAAUUCUACUAAACAGUGUACUAUCAAAAGUUCUCUAAUCUGAUUGGCUACUCCUUAUCUUUUAACAUAUGCAUUCCAAUUUUCAGUGCUUCUCCUCAGUAACAGUUAAUAUCAAAUGUGGCAAGAAUGGAAAAGUGGCAUCUAUGGCACAGCUGAUUAUGAGUGUAUUACUACUUGUUCUGACUGCAUGCGAAUUAUAUACACAUGACUCCAAUUCUAUAAUUUAAUCCAAACUAAAGCAAAUGAAUGAUAGUACAAUAGCAUGAGGAUUAAACUAAAAACAAAUCUUAAUUUUUGCAACUAAUUGAUCUGACAUUCAACCGGUCACUCAAUCAGUUAUUUAACCAUUCAAUUGGUUACCAAAUAAUCAAGUGAAUUUAGCUGGGUGCUGAUUUUUAAAACAAAAGUGUAAGUACCAAUGUCUGUAUUUACUCAGUUAAGCACCCCAUGCCCUUAUUAAUUCUUGGAUCUUGAGAGUGUGGGCUUAUUUGACCCUUGACACUUAUUUACACCCACAGGAUGGACAUUUGAUUGAGGUUGGGCACUUAAUUAAUUUAAAAAUGGUGGUUGAAUCUUUUAUAAUCUAUUAGCAUCUGUUGUCUUGUUGUGUUUUAGAUGAACUAAAGAAAGUGGAAUAUAUUCCUUCACUGUCAGAUGUAAAGAGUCAAAGAGUAGUUAAAACAAGACUGAUAACAAUAGGAAAUAAACUGAGAGCUGAAGAACAAAAAAG